GAUUGUGUUGUAGAUUGGAGAUAGAUGAUUUGAAUUUCUCUCCCCCUCCCAGUUGAGCGAAGGCUGUUCAGUUUUAACAUAGAUGGCCACUUUGACCCCUCUUUCAAACUAGCAGUCUUCUCUGUCCAAAAUGUGGACUUUGCUGUCUUCAAAUGAAAAUGAUGUGUGUGUGU